AACAAUAAUAAAUAUCUGAAAUGGAACGAAGCAAGGUGACUAUUUGGGAACGAAAGCGGUCGUAAACACUGAACCUCCUGUCGGGAGAUUCGUAUUUUUUAAUAAUUAAUCGAAAUAGUAAAAAUUUAUUGAGUUCGCACAAUAUCCCUUACUUGUAAAUUUAUCAGUAUUUCACAUAUGUGAUGUGUCAACUUAAAAACAAUCUUGAAUAAAAAUUAAAGAAAUUUGAGAAAAUACUAAUAUAUUUUUUUACUUCAUAAUAUACAGAACAGGGUCUUUCAGGUAAAUCCGGACCACCUUUAACUGAAUCCUGAUCAAUAAGGGAAGCAAGUUGAGGGUUGAAAUUUUAUUUACAAAUUCUAAAAAGAAAAAAAUCAUUCAAUGUGUCCGCCAUCUUCGCCAAUCAUUCGCUCCAUACGAGGCCUAAAGGAUUUGCAGGCCUAGCUCAAGUCUUCAGAGGAGACUUUGACUCAGUACUUGAUGAUGGAAUCCUUCAAGGAGUCGAUGCCGUUGUGUUAAUUGUAUAAGAACUUCAACUCUAAGUCUCUCUAAAAGAAGAAAUCCAAGGGAUUCAUAUUGGGGGAGUUAGAGGGCAAGUUCUGGGGAUCCAAAAAUGGCACCACUUCUUUCAACAAAUUUUGGGUCUUGCAUGCCUUAUGAGAGGGGGGAGUCUUUUUGAAACAUGAACUCGUCAUCACCUUUCAUCAAAGGUAUUACUUGGUCAUACAGAAUUGUGCAGUACCUAUCGCAUCCACCCUCUCCUUUGGCUCAAAGAAGAUAGGGGUAUGACACUUUCAUUGCUCCUAAUGACCCCAAGGGUCAUGAUGCUUGCCGGAAACUUAUUUCUAAAGACGUGGAGGAUAUAAACUCUCUCUGUGGCAAACCAUCUGUUGUUCUGGAUGUUGUGGGAUCUGUCGACAAUCCAUUGUUUUUCAUCCGAAGAAAUAUGAUUCGGUUGCCAUGGGACUUCAAAUCAUACAUCAAUUUCCUUCCGUGUGCAGCCCGGAUGUCCUUCAUUUUGUCUGUAGGAAAUGUCUUUUGUAGAGGCGGUAUGCCUUCAUCCUCAGGUCAGUGUUUAUGACCCUGGAGACUGUUGCACGAAUUACUUGGCGCUUUUUGAAAGAAGAUUAAUCAGAGUAACAGGAGAUAUAUUUAAGGACCGUUUCAGGCCUACCAGGAAUCUUGGAGUGCGUUUUUUAUCACUCCGGGAUUCAUGGUAUUUUCUUUAUACUCUUUCUAGGGAUUGUAGACAGUGCUCUUUGGAUACCAGAGGAUAUUCUUGAUGUAAGCUGGGCUGUAUCCCGUGCAAGCUAAUUAGAUGAUGGUGUUCCUCCGGGUCUCCUCCAUUUAAAAUACUUGUUUUUAAAUAAAAGUUGGACAACUAACUUGAGGCUAACGUUUAAUCAUUUAAUUUAAAAUUAAAAUAACUGAGUUAAAUGUUUUCCUUAUUGUUCAGGGUAUUGUUAAAGAUAGUUCUGAUUUACCUGAACGAUCCUGUAUACUUGUACAUACUAAUUAUGUCAAAUACAUAUUUGAGUCAAUUAUAGGGUUUGUAUUCAAAUUUGUUCAAUGAGUUAAAAUACGUAAUAAUUUAAGCUAUUGUUGUGAACUUUUAUUUUAUUUAGUAGACUUAUAAUGGUCCCGACGUGGCCUUUGAAAUAAAAUCUAUCAAUGUCUCAUUAUUUUAUUAUGAAUAUCCAUUUUGGCUACUUUAAAUGUAAUUUGUGGCGCUUCCAAAGUGUUAUAAGAAUAAUUUGUUGAUAGAAAUGUAAGAUAGUUCAUCGAAGUACACUAUUAUUAUCAACACUCAAUCUUGAGAAAAAUAUAUCUAGCUUGUUUUUAUCAUGACGGGCUACAUAUAUGAGUUAAGUAAUAGCUUCUUCUAAAUAUUUUUUUUACAAAGAACAGAAAGUUGUUUGGAUAAAACCCAUUUUUAAGUGAGUAUUUUGACUUGAGGCCUCUGUUAACAUUAUUUUUAACAUAUUUAUAUAAUUCAAUAGUGGAAAAGUUAUAGAAAAUUGAGUCCUUAAUAAAAAUCUCAUCCCUUUAAUGAAUAAAUAAUGGAGGCUGAGUGCCUCAUUAAUGUUCUAGUACAUUAUUAAAAUUAGAGUUCACUAUGGAAAGAGAUAAUAACAAACACGAAUCAUAACAUUCUUUAUUAUUAUUCAGAGAAUUUUGAUAAUUAGUUUUUAUUUCAAUUAACUUCAUGUUCAAUUGUUAAUUGAAGUCCAGUUGUACUGUGGAUUGGCAGUAUUUAAUGAGAGGUAAUAAUUAUUAAUUAGAGAAAAAGUCAUGGUAUCUACUAUUUUUCACUCAUAAUUUUAAAUGUAUGGUUUACGUUGAUGCCAUGUUAAAGAGAAGAACCUAAAAAGUUGGACCCCUGACAUGAAGAAGAUCCAGUUCCUCUAUUCAAAAAAGGUAGACUCUUAUUUUGAUCAAACAUAAGUGUCGUCAUCGACGGAUCUAAGCCUGUGGGCCAUGGGCCCUUUUCUCUUUUGUGAAUACAUUGAAAUUAUUAAAUGGUUGCAAACAAAUGAACUUCUACCAACUACAAGAGUAUGUCCAAUGUGCCAUACAAUUUUGUUAUUAGAAAAAAAAACUAAGCACUCCUUACAAGAAGAUGAAUACGAAUGGUUUUAUCCUAAAGAAGAUUGUAAAAAGUAAUUUCAUCUAGUAGAUGGAACUUUCUUUGAAAUACUCCUGAAAUAUAUUUAAAGAAUUA
rnacentral:lncRNA from 1 species